AAGAGGAGGAGAAUCUAGAUGUGCAGGAGAUGCUAGGAGAUGAAGAACAAGUAUGACUUACAGAAAUGGAGAAGAGGAUCACUGUGCUCCAGGAUGUGACCAGCAUAUUGUCACUCCUCAACUCAAACAUACCUCUGCUCCUCCUUUACCAACGCAAGACAUCACCUACACAAACAGUUCCAUCCCCUGGUCAGUAGUGCUUCUACAAGCUCCAGUUUCCUUGCUGCUCAGCCCAGACUCUCUCGGGCAUGAACUCCACCCUAUGGGAACUAUGGUAUGUAUAUGACCAGCAUCCAUCAAUGGUAUUGUUAGAGGCACACACUUGUGUGAGUCCUUGCCCACAGGCCGACUCGAUGUCACAUCGGCUUUGACAUGCUGCAACUAAGAAGCAGCUAAAGAAAAGCAGACUCUCUGUCCUGCUCAACCCUCGCCCAUCAGAAACACACCCUUCUUGCAGGAGAAGCCACAACAACCCCCCAGUGGCAUUGAUGACUACAAUCUGAUGAAGGUAAACGUCAAAGAGUGAAACAACUUUGUAGCCCAGGGAGUAUACCUCAAGAGGAUUUCCCCAGAAGAGAAUCAAGCCAGCUGAACAAGAAUGGCAUAAGGACACACCUGUUACUCCUAGGCGCCGCAUCUGAACACUGACAAGUUUGGAUAUAGUGGCUUGGGUAUCUGGAAUAUGCAAGGCAGGUUCCCAUGGUAAGAGUAGUGUACACCUGGCAUUUCAUGCAAAUGCAGAGUAAAUCAGGGAGCUGAAUGAGAUCCCACUGUCUCAAACUGCUGAGACCAUUCAGCUGAAUCUGUUGUCGCUGGCUUUACAUGAGUGUAUAUUGACAAUAAGCUGUCCUUCAGCUGCUGGUCUAAACAAUCUCAGCCUGGCAGUCCCCUGUCCUGCCAACUCCACACUUCUUUUCAGCUGAGUUUGAAGUCACCUUACCAAGGAACUUAUCCACAGUCCCACGUGUGAAUUCUGAGGAGUCCCUGUCAUUCUCCUGAGACUCCAGUGACUCACGAACAAGCCUUUCCUCUGCCACUCUGUAGGCUUCAUGGAGGCAGGUCUGGUCCCUCACAUCAAGACAUUGAAGCACUAACAAUCUGACCACUGAGCAAGUACAUCUGACAGAUAAGCCUGGAGAUUCCUGAGGAAGGUGGGGACACUUGCAGAUGGAUGACAAGACUUGGGGCAGCUUACCCACACCAGAGAGGUACUCGUGUGACAACUUGGCAGCCACUGAAUUAGACAAUUUCCUGAGUGAAGAGAAGAGGACAUGGGGAGACAGUCCAGGCUGUCGUUGUUCCAUACUGCACCACAUUCCACCAAUAGACUGGAGGGCAUCCAUGAUAUGAACACAAGGAGAAGGGGGUAGUCAGUGUAUACAGCUCAAGUUGGCCCAGGUGCAGGCCAACUCAGUGUGGGGAGGAAGCAUUUGAGGCUUAACAGUCUCAUCAUUCCAGCCAUCCAGAGCCCUUUCAAAUAUGUUUCUCCUUCCUUGUGAUGGAGCUUCUAGAAACUUCUGUGGCCACACCCCUUCCUGUGCCCAAGUCUGCUCACCCACUUUGUUCCACUUCAACUUUUGCACCUGCUGCUCUUCAUAUACAAUAGCCACUUUCCCUAAAAUCUUUUCUCAGCCAUGUUCAUCUCUUUUCUAGAUUAAUGGUUAUAGGCUAGCCAGUGCACAAGCCAGUUUUCAGAAGCAUUUUUGUUUGUUGCAGUACUGAGAACCAAACCCAGGACCUCAUGGGCCUUGUGUAUAUAAGGCAAGCACUCUACCACUGAGCGAAAUUGCCAGCCCUGACAGUGUCCUCUGUAAUGAAAAGAUACUCUUUUUUUUCUUUCUCCUUUCCUUCUCUGUGGAGCCCAGACUGGCCUUGAACCCAUGAUGUUCUAUUUUAGGAAUUAGCACUAGCUAUCAAUCAGCCCACACUGAGCCAAGUGUUGCUCCUGUUGCAGAUGUUGCCAGGCUUGGGUACAUGCCCAAUGAAGUCUGCUGCUUCCUGUUUGCUGUCAUUUACAGAGGAAAGGCAGUGAAAGGCCAGGAGACACGUUGUCAGAAAGGAAGAAGGGGCUCGUUGGUCAGGACUUGGUGUCAGUGAGGGACCCCAAAAACUUACCCAUCCUUGGGCUGUGCAAGAUUUUGCUACAGAUUAGAAAUGAGAGUAUCAGUAUGGAGCAGGUAGCUUGUAGCAACCAGCAGGCUGUCAUCAGAUCUGUCAAUAACCAGAAAUCUGAAUGUGAGCAGGUGACAAAGACACCUAUGAUAUGGUUGUCUCUGCAGAUGGUGGGCUCCUAUACAACCCAUGAAGAGAAUAGGAGCCACUCGCUCUUUCAACAGAGCAGGAUUAAGGGCCAACCUGUUGUAAUGAUGGGGCUCCCCAGAAGAGGACCCAAGCUAGGGACUCCCAAGAGACCUGAAGCCAGAGCCAGCUUGGCACCAGAGCCCUUGUCCCCUAGUUGCCCCUGUGCUGCCUGGAGUGUCAGGGACCGGUGCUGAAGAGGAGCCAUGCGGCAGCGCCCAGCCCAGCCUUGUACAGUAUAGGCAGCUGCACAGUACAAAGGCCACAGGGAGGGGGACUGUGGGAACCUCAGCAGCAAAGUCACUGGAACAGAGUCAAGUACAGUAUGCCCCUUCUCUGUGAUGCCUCCCUUCUCUUCUUUUUCCAAGUUAUUCAGACUGCAGUCUGUAAACCAACAACUUUGAGGAAAGACCACGAAGGAGGCCCUGGGAGGACAUUUUUCUCCUGACAAGUCUCACCUGAGUUUUACCAAUGAUGAAAUAGUGAUAAUUGUAGUUAUAGCCACAUGGUUUCAGCAAGUAUGAGGCUUGAUGGCACCAGGGGUUUCUCAGGACAGUGUGGAGAGCUGACAGCAGCAUUCCACAGGAAAAGAAACAGAUUCACUUGCCUCAGGUGGCCUUGCCAGAAAGGGACAGCCCCAAGAGAAACCACAGUCUAUGUGACCCUGGUCCCUUGUACCAUGACUCUGCCCUGCAGACAAGCUUAAUGAGAGUUAUCUUCUAGAAGCAUGUUGGGGGUCUGAAGGUAGGGCUACCUGGCUACACUUUUCAUUGCUGUGUGGUAUCAGAUUAGCAUACAAGAAUGGAACCUGGAGACCAGGCAACAAAAGAAAUGAUGAGAGGUGGAAAUUACUGUGUCCAAUGUGUCUAUGAGGGCUUCCUGGGUCCCAAGGGUCAGACCACUUUGGAGUCCUCUGACCAGUUGACAGAGGAGAGACUUGGGAGGAAGAAAAGUGAUCCUGGAGCAGGAGAUAAAAGGCUUAGAGGGCAAUGGUAGUGCACACUUUUAAUCCCAGAACUUGGGAGGCAGAGGCAGGAGGAUUUUUUGUGAGUUUGAGGCCAGCCUGGUCUACAGAGUGAGUAAGUUGAGUUCCAGGACAGCCAGGGCUACACAGUGAGACCUCGCCUUAAAAUAACAAAACAAAAUAAAAAGAGGCUUAGAAAGCAAAGAAGCUUCAGGGAAGAAAUACCCAGGACCAGAAGAGGUGUUUGCUAGGAGAGUUUAUAGGUUCUGAACAAAAGAAAGCCUGCCUUGAUGUUUGAGACUCACUCACGUGUGUGGGUGUGGGUGUGCACAUGUGCAUGCACACAUACACACAGAGGGGGGAAGAGAGAGAGAGAGACAGAGAGGGGGGGAGAGGGAGAGAGAGAGAUUUAGAUCACAGGGGAAGGCAUGUCUAAGUGGAAAUUUUUCUGAACACAGAAAACCGCUGUGUGGAGAGCAGGGUCGAGUGCAGCUUGCAGAAGGCCAUAAGCCAUGAGAGGAGGGUGGAGGGAGGACAGGCAGGGAGGGGUGUGUGAAGAUCACAGAGUUGUGGGAACAGAGCUGGCGUCUGGGCAAAAAGAAUGUUCCGUUCUGAGUCAGGUGAAUUGGGAAGGGGUGGUGUUGAAGGACUUGAAGAGAGGAGAUCUCAGAGUUUGCCCAGUGUUGGAGGCAGUGUUGGCGAAGAAACCCCACCUCUUUCAUCAGCUGCCCACAAGCCUAGUGAGUGAUUGCCUGCAUUCCCACAACCACCCAGGGCCCUCAACACUCCCAAAAUGUUUCAGUGUCUCAUCCAAACACACUGCUGAUGUUGCUGUGGAGUGCACAUCCCUCUUUAGCUCCCUGUCUCUCUUCCAGUACCUUCAACCCUUUGAGACAUGUCCUCCAAGUGCAUCCUUUAAAUAGUUUUAUUCUGGUGUCUUGUGAAUGCUAGGCAAGCACUCUACCACUGAGCCACACCCCGGGCCCAUUCUAUCCAUCUUCUGUCUGAUCCCUGUAGAUAGUGCUUUGACUGUCUUAUUCACCUGGGUACCCUUUAUGUGUUAACAGUUUAUGUAGGGGUGGGAAGAGGUGAGCCCUUUCCAUAUCCAUCCUAAGGGUGACAACCAAUGCUCCUCCAUGAGAUGGGUUAGACAAGUGUUGUGGUCUGCACAUGAAAUGUUCUCCAUAGUCCCCAGCUGGGAGCCUGUAGAACUUCUUGCUGAAGAAAGUGGGUCACUAGAGGCAGGCAUUGAGUAUAGCCAGUCUCUACUCCACUUCCUGUUCACACUCUCUUUUUGUGUGUAGACAAAAUGUGGACAGUCUUCUCCUCCUACCAUCUUGCCUUCCCUGCCUGCUGUCAUGGCUUCCCUGUCAUGAUGGACUGAAACUCUCUGGAGUUAUAAGCCAAAAUAAACUCUUUCUCCCAUUAGUUUCUUUUGUUAGGAUAUUUUAUCGCCAUAACAAGAAAGCAGCCAAGACUCAUUUUGUUUGAUCAAAGUUUUACAUGACCCAAAAGCCCUUAGAAAUGAAGACCAAGAACAAGGAGAACUGUUUUUUUUUUUUUUUUGCAUUUUUUAAAUUGUGUGUGUGUGUGUGUGUGUGUGUGUGUGUGUGUGUAUUAUGUGUUAUGUGAUUACAUUAGCAUGACACAUGUUUCUGGUUUUUGGUUGAGAGUGGGUCUCAUUUAGCCCAGGCUGGCCUCAAACUUGACAAGUAGCUGAGGCUGACCUUUCAAGGGCUGGAUUCCAACACAGAAAAGCCUCUGUUAUGAUUCU
ensembl:lncRNA